AACAGGUCUGUGGCCCAGCUGGUUCUAGGACAAAGAUUGAAGCCAGAAUAUUUGGAAGAUUCCACCUCACUGAAAUGCAAGGAGCUGAUGUAAGAGGGAAAUGUUAAUAAGGACUUCAAAACUCACAACCAAAGAGCUCCAAGGGACAUAGAUGCCAGCCAAAAGAAACAGAACACUACCAUAUGUUACUGAAAAUGAUUUCACCUCGGGAAGGCUUUAUGCAACUAAUUCAAGCAUGUAAAUAUAUGUUAACUUACCAAAUGUUCACAAUGGAACUUCUUU